GAAGUGCUCCCUCCGUUCGAAAAAUACUUGUCAGAGGAAUGGAUGUAUCUAGAUGUAUCUUAGUUCUAGAUACAGACAUUUUUAUUCAUUUCUUCGACAAGUAUUUUUGGAUGAAUGGAGUAUUAU
rnacentral:pre_miRNA from 2 species